rnacentral:lncRNA from 1 species
CUUUCUCCGGGAUUCCUCUGAGGGCCAAGGUCUGGUCACCCAGAGGCUGCUAAUUUCAAAGGCAAUAUGAGAGGGACUGGAUGUUUGGAGGGGGACACGGGGCUGGACAUCUGGAUCCCCAAACCCGGACUCACCUCUCGGACAGGGCUGAUUCCGAUCGGACACUUCCGGUGGAAGGACUGAGCGGCGCUACACUUCAAGAAUUCCGUCCACAGGGACUUGUGAGUCUGCGCAGAAGGCGGGAUGCCUUUGGACUACAAUUCCAAGAAUCCUUCCUGGGUCUCUUCGGGCGCAGACUUUUCGCCAAAGUCCUGAAGAUCUCAGGGCUUGAAGGAGGGGGCAUCUUUUUUCUCCAUUGUAGUAGUGUGUCUUGCUAAAUAACAGAAGGGACUCCUGAAAAGAAAAUGACGUUGGCCGGGCGCGGUGGCUCACGCCUGCAGUCCCAGCACUUUGGGAGGCCGAGACGGGCGGAUCACGAGGUGGUGAAAUUGAAGCCCACGCAGCAGGGUUGCAACUGAAACUUCAUCUCCUCUGCAAAACCUUCCUGCAUUCCCAGACAACUUUUCUUCUGAGGCCUUGUUUGAUUCAUCCCCUUACCCCAGUGGAACUCAGAUAUUCAAAAUGGUAUUAAUUAAAACCACUGGCUGUCAUUGGUCCAUG